UAAAGCAAAUUUGACUGGCAGUUUUGCGAAUGGCAAAAAUCUAAAUGCUGUUUGUCAGCAACUUCAACUUAUAUUCCAAGUGAAAACAAUUAAUUAAACGUUUAAUAAAAAUUAAUCAAAAUAAAACUACAUGGGGGAUUAUUCAGGGUAUUCCAACUAAGUUGCACCAAAAGGGUAUCUUACUACACAAAAUUAAUCCUUGAUUCUUCAAAGUUUAGUUUAGCCAUAAUAAGUAUAUAACAGCAAAAGAAUGUCACAAACAGUGCAGAAUAAGUCUGUUCACAUUUCAGGCGAAAUUUAUACUGUUGAGAUAGUGUCAAGACAUAUUUAAGACUGUCAAGAAUGUGUCGAGACAUAUU
rnacentral:lncRNA from 1 species